CCUACGGGGGGCAGCAGUGGGGGAUAUUGCACAAUGGGGGAAACCCUGAUGCAGCGACGCCGCGUGAGUGAAGAAGUAUUUCGGUAUGUAAAGCUCUAUCAGCAGGGAAGAAAAUGACAGUAACUGACCAAGAAGCCCCGGCUCACGACGUGCCAGCCGCCGCGGUACUACGUAGGGGGCAAGCGUUAUCCGGAUUUACUGGGUGUAAAGGGAGCGUAGACGGGGAUGUAAGUCUGGAGUGAAAGCCCGGGGCCCAACCCCGGGACUGCUUUGGAAACGGUGUAACUGGAGUACAGGAGGGCCAGGCGGAAUUCCUGGUGUAGCGGUGAAAUGCGUAGAUAUCAGGAGGAACACCGGCGGCGAAGGCGGCCUGCUGGACUGGAACUGACGUUGCGGCUCGAAAGCGUGGGGAGCAAACAGGAUUAGAUACCCGGGUAGUC
rnacentral:rRNA from 1 species